UGGGGAAUAUUGGACAAUGGGCGAAAGCCUGAUCCAGCCAUGCCGCGUGUGUGAAGAAGGCCUUAUGGUUGUAAAGCACUUUAAGCGAGGAGGAGGGUACUGGUAUUAAUACUACCAGGUACUGGACGUUACUCGCAGAAUAAGCACCGGCUAACUCUGUGCCAGCAGCCGCGGUAAUACAGAGGGUGCGAGCGUUAAUCGGAGUUACUGGGCGUAAAGCGUGCGUAGGCGGCUAAUUGAGUCGGAUGUGAAAUCCCCGAGCUUAACUUGGGAAUUGCAUUCGAUACUGGUUAGCUAGAGUGUGGGAGAGGAUGGUAGAAUUCCAGGUGUAGCGGUGAAAUGCGUAGAGAUCUGGAGGAAUACCGAUGGCGAAGGCAGCCAUCUGGCCUAACACUGACGCUGAGGUACGAAAGCAUGGGGAGCAAACAGG
rnacentral:rRNA from 1 species